UGAUCUGCCUACCAUGGUGAUAACGGGUAACGGGGAAUCAGGGUUCGAUUCCGGAGAGGGAGCCUGAGAAACGGCUACCACAUCCAAGGAAGGCAGCAGGCGCGAAAAUUACCCACUCCCGGCACGGGAGGUAGUGACGAAAAAUACGAAUACGGGACUCACUCGAGGCUCCGUAAUUCGAAUGAGUACAAUCUAAAUCCUUUAACGAGGACCAAUUGGAGGGCAAGUCUGGUGCCAGCAGCCGCGGUAACUCCAGCUCCAAAAGCGUAUAUUAAAGUUGCUGCAGUUAAAAAGCUCGUAGUUGGAUCUGGGUCGUGCGUUCACAUGUCGUUGCUUGGUUCUGAUUUCGGUUAGUUCCAGGUGAUGGCGAGGUGGUCGCGCAGCCUUUCAGCCGUGUCUGCGUGAGCAGGUGCUGGUUGGCCGGUGGGUUUACUUGCUGGUUAGUCGGCAUGUUUCCUGAUGCCUUUAAACGGGUGUCGGGGGCGUACGGCACUUUUACUUUGAACAAAUUUGAGUGCUCAAAGCAGGCCCAUGUGCCUGAAAAGUCUUGCAUGGAAUAAUGGAAUAGGACUUCGGUUCUAUUUUGUUGGUUUCCGGAUCCGAAGUAAUGGUUAAGAGGAACAGACGGGGGCAUUUGUAUGGCGGCGUGAGAGGUGAAAUUCUAUGAUCGUCGCCAGACAAACUACAGCGAAAGCAUUUGCCAAGAAUGUUUUCAUUGAUCAGGAGCGAAAGUCAGAGUUUCGAAGACGAUCAGAUACCGUCCUAGUUCUGACCAUAAACGAUGCCAACUGACG
rnacentral:rRNA from 1 species